AGAGCAGUUAAGUCACUUACCCAAAGUCACACAGCCAGUAAGUACUAAAGCCAGGAAUCCAACCCUGAUUAUUUGACUUUAAAGUUCCCCCUCUUAACCCCUACACUGUAAUUCUGCUUGGUUUAGUUUUACGAAGAAAAUAUUUUCUAAUGGCUCCUUGCCUCACAUUGGGAUCCUGCAUUUUUAACAAGAUCCUGGAUGCUGCUGCUGGUCUGAGGUCCACAUGUUGAGUAGCAGGUUCUGAGUGGGAGCUAUUUUUAGCGAAGGGUGGCUGGAGAGCAGCAGAGCAAAGAGAAACAAAUGCCUGGACACCUGUCAAUCAAAGCUGAUCCAACAAUGAACUCACACAUAAAAUAGGUAAUCUGAUUGACAUUAGGUGUCAGUGUGAGGUGAGCAUAGGAAUUUGGAAGGGUGGAGCUGUGGGAGCAGGAUGGAGCAUAGAUGAAGUACUGGGGGAGUCUCACUAGACACAGGUGACUUUUAGCAUGUGUUUUUUACAAAAACAAGCAACAACCAGAGAAAAAGUCAGUGAAUAGCACCGCUGGGCAUGAUUCCACCUAGUGGGCUGAUGCCUCAGUUGAGCAGGGGCUAGCUGAUCUUUGAGAGAUCUCACUUUCCAUACAC
rnacentral:lncRNA from 1 species